GGGGUUAGAGAGAGGCGUGGGGUGUGUUAUAAAAAAUUUUGGUUUUUUUUUUAAAACACCGGGCCCGGUUCCUUAUUCAUUUGCCUUAUAAUUGAAGGCUUGAACGAAUGGCCUGACGAAAGCAAUACUGUCUCUUCUUUAUUAUCUAGAAAUUAACCUAUGGGUGAAGAGGCCUAUAUUAUAUUGAAGGACAAGAAGACCCUGUCGAGCUUUAGAGUAAAGCAGGAAUAUAAGUAUUAAAAAAAAUCAAUGACUACAUAACUCUUUAGUUGGGGCGACUAAGGAACAAAUAAAGCUUCUUUUAGUUUUUUAGAUCAAUAAAUUUAGAUCCAGCAAAGCUGAUUAAAAGAAUUAGUUACCGCAGGGAUAACAGCAUAAUCUCUCUUGAGAGACCUAAUCGAAAGAGGGGGUUGUGACCUCGAUGUUGGACUAAAAUAUCCUGAAGAUGCAGACGUCUUCGAAGGUUGGUCUGUUCGACCAUUAAAAUUUUACGUGAUCUGAGUUCAGACCGGA
rnacentral:rRNA from 1 species